rnacentral:tRNA from 1 species
GUUAGGGUGGCAGAGCCAGGUUUAUGCGAAAGGCCUAAGACCUUUACUCCAGAUGUUCAAAUCCUCUCCCUAACC